rnacentral:rRNA from 1 species
AANGGCAGCANGUUCGCGAGGACAAGCAAAUCCCAUAAACCGUGGCUCAGUUCAGAUCGUAGGCUGCAACUCGCCUACGUGAAGGAGGAAUCGCUAGUAAUCGCAGGUCAGCAUACUGCGGUGAAUACGUUCCCGGGCCUUGUACACACCGCCCGUCACACCAUGGAAGUUGGCCACGCCCGAAGCCGUUACUCCAACCCUUGUGGAGGAGGACGUCGAAGGUGGGGCUGAUGACUGGGGUGAAGUCGUAACAAGGUAGCCGUACCGGAAGGUGCGGCUGGAUCACCUCCUAA